rnacentral:tRNA from 1 species
GGGUAUAGCUCAGUGGUAGAGCGCAUGCUUAACAUUCAUGAGGUCAUGGGUUCCAUCCCCAGUACCUCCA